GGAUUAAUGGCCGAGUGGUCUAAGGCGCUGUACUUGAAAUACAGUAACGUUCAUAGCGUUCAGAGGUUCGAAUCCUCUUUAAUCCG